rnacentral:rRNA from 1 species
AUUGAACGCUGGCGGCAGGCCUAACACAUGCAAGUCGAGCGGAUGAAGGGAGCUUGCUCCUGGAUUCAGCGGCGGACGGGUGAGUAAUGCCUAGGAAUCUGCCUGGUCGUGGGGGAUAACGUCCGGAAACGGGCGCUAAUACCGCAUACGUCCUGUGGGAGAAAGUGGGGGAUCUUCGGACCUCACGCUAUCAGAUGAGCCUAGGUCGGUUUAGCUAGUUGGUGGGGUAAAGGCCUACCAAGGCGACGAUCCGUAACUGGUCUGAGAGGAUGAUCAGUCACACUGGAAAUGAGACACGGUCCAGACUCGGACGGGAGGCAGCAGUGGGGAUAUUGGACAAUGGGCGAAAGCCUGAUCCAGCCAAGCCGCGUGUGUGAAGAAGGUCUUCGGAUUGUAAAGCACUUUAAGUUGGGAGGAAGGGCAGUAAGUUAAUACCUUGCUGUUUUGACGUUACCAACAGAAUAAGCACCGGCUAACUUCGUG